AAUUUAACAAAUCUCCGAGCCCUUUUCCUAAUCCUCCGACUUACGGGGUAUGGAAGAAGGCCGUUAGGGUAAGGUUGGAAACGGCUUUACCUCCCGUGUUUGGAAAGGAGAUGGAGGAUCGAAAUG
rnacentral:ncRNA from 2 species